AGUGAACGCUGGCGGUAGGCCUAACACAUGCAAGUCGAACGGCAGCACAGUAAGAGCUUGCUCUUACGGGUGGCGAGUGGCGGACGGGUGAGGAAUACAUCGGAAUCUACUUUUUCGUGGGGGAUAAUGUAGGGAAACUUACGCUAAUACCGCAUACGACCUACGGGUGAAAGCAGGGGAUCUUCGGACCUUGCGCGAUUGAAUGAGCCGAUGUCGGAUUAGCUAGUUGGCGGGGUAAAGGCCCACCAAGGCGACGAUCCGUAGCUGGUCUGAGAGGAUGAUCAGCCACACUGGAACUGAGACACGGUCCAGACUCCUACGGGAGGCAGCAGUGGGGAAUAUUGGACAAUGGGCGCAAGCCUGAUCCAGCCAUACCGCGUAGGUGAAGAAGGCCUUCGGGUUGUAAAGCCCUUUUGUUGGGAAAGAAAAGCAGCAGGUUAAUACCCCGCUGUUCUGACGGUACCCAAAGAAUAAGCACCGGCUAACUUCGUG
rnacentral:rRNA from 1 species